GCAGCUCGAGCUCCUUCAUUUGCAGAGAAUAGCUUCUGAAAAUACUCGGAGAUAACAUUGAGGAUCCCUGCCUCUUCAUACUCAGGUACUCCAUCCUCCUUUUCUAUCACUGAGAACUUAUUUAUCACCGUUCUACCUCUAGUGAUGGCAUGGAAGUAACCCGAAUUUUUAUCUCCUAAGGCAAGCCAUAACUGUCUGCUUCUCUGCUUCCAAUACUCUUCCUCUGCCUUGUAUGCUAAGAGCAAAUUAGUAUUGAUAGUCGAUAACAGCUCUUGAUUGUGAUCUUGACUAGACAUUGCCUCUUCAAGUUUUUGACGAUUUUCCUCAAUAAGUUUUUGACUACUUUGCUGCUUAGCCCUAGACCACUUAACAAUUUCCAAACGACAUCUGCUAAUUUUUUCCUCCACAAUGUCUGUAUCAUAAAGAUUCCAGGCCUCUUGAACAAGGGCUGUGACUUCAUCGUUGUUUUUUAGACGCCUAUCGUAACGAAACACUCCUUUUUUCUUUUUCUUUGACAGGUCAAAGUGGGUAAGAAGUGGUCUGUGGUCUGACCCUUCAAAGCAAAGGUAAAUGCAUCUACUAGCAGGAUAAUCUUCAGCCCACGCUCCAUUGGACAAUGCACGAUCAAGCCUGCAAUGCACAACAUGAUCAUGUCUCUUUCCACGCCAAGAUAAGAAAUUCCCUGAAUGUCUUAAAUCAUACAAAUCACAUUCCGCCAUAAAUGAUCUAAUGUCCACAAAAGUUCCUUCAUAUCUUGCAGGUCCUCCUUGUUUUUCAGAAGAAUCUAUGAUAUAAUUGAAUUCUCAGUAAGAUACCAGGGUUCACUUCUAUCUUUCCCUAAACUGGUAAGCUGAUCCCAUAUAGCUUUCCGCUUUGAUCUGUCUGGUUCCCCAUAGAUGAAAGUAGCAAAGAAGUGUUUACCCGCCGCCUUAAUCUUUGUGUCAAUAAAGUUGUUGCAGGAAUAAAGGAUUGUCACUUCUACUUCAUGUUUCCAGAGAAGGGCCAGACCACCACCUCCUGGGCUAUGCGGGGGAACAAGGUGAUGUGCAGAAAAAUUCAUCCAGUUUAAAGAGGUGAGGGUUGUCUCAUUGGGGUUCUUGGUUUCCAUAAGGAACAGAAUUUCUGGUGAGAUUGAAGAAUGCAUCUCACGCAGCCGUUGUACUGUUGUGGGGCUCCCCAAUCCACAACAGUUCCAGCUCAGAACUUUUAAGGAAUCUGAUUUGGUAGAUGGUGAAAAUCCACCUUAUCUUUCACUCUUGCAGGUAUAAUAGUUACUCGUGGAGUAGGUUGACUUGAGGAAGGGUUGGAGGCUCCAGGUUGGAGGAGAAGCUUUUGCUUUGUUUUCGUGGUUCUGCUAGGGCCAGCAGAUUCUUGUAUGUGAGCUUCAUUCUUCUCAGGUGUGGAUUUCCUUUUAGGGGAGUUCUGGAUAAGUCCCUUUCUUUUGCUUGAUUUUGCUCCCAGCAAUGGUAAAGCAGCUUUGUUUUGGGGUUUAGCUAAAGGUGGACGUCCUCUUUUCUUUUUUGCAGGAGCAACACAGCUUGUAGUCUGAUCAGCCGGAUGACUUUGUAGGUCUUGGUACUGAGAGAGAUUAUCUUGUGUUGGAAGAUCUUCAGAGGCAAGGUAAUUUUGGUUUGAGAUGAGUGCAGCUUCCAGCAUUAUAGAAGCUGUUUCUGCCAUGAGUCCUUUUUCUUCUCCUUGAAAAACUCUUCGUUUUCUUGCAGCGCUUUCAGUUGGGUGUGCACAACUAACAUAUUGCAGAGUGACGUCUCUAAGCUCUCCCAUGAUUUGGUCAUUAGUAGGGAUGGGAGGAGGAGGUGGUGGAGUAACCUCAUAAGAAUCCAGGUUUCUCUCCAACGGGGGACGUCUUGUUCUCGAAGUUUCAGAGCUAUCAUUUCUAGGACUGAGUCUAUGUGUGGCUCUAACCCUCCAUUGAGGAGUCUGAGAAGAAUCUCUUCUUGGCCCCUCUCUAAUAGGAUCCUGAUAUCUUGAGGUACCCCUUUUGUCUCCUGUCUCAUGGCGACCUAAAUUCCUUCUGUUAGGGUUAAAAGGAUUUCUGUGUCUUCUCUCCUCAUAGGGUCCAGCUCGGCGAGAUAGAUGUUCUCUAGAAGUUGAGGUCUACUCCUCUUACUUUUCCAAGAUCUUGAGAACGACUUUGAUUAAUAGAAGG
rnacentral:lncRNA from 1 species